rnacentral:rRNA from 1 species
UACGUAGGGUGCGAGCGUUAAUCGGAAUUACUGGGCGUAAAGUGUGCGCAGGCGGCCGCGCAAGUCGAGUGUGAAAUCCCCAGGCUCAACCUGGGAACUGCGUCUGAUACUGGAUGGCUUGAGUUUGGGAGAGGGAUGCGGAAUUCCAGGUGUAGCGGUGAAAUGCGUAGAUAUCUGGAGGAACACCGGUGGCGAAGGCGGCAUCCUGGACCAACACUGACGCUGAGGAGCGAAAGCCAGGGGAGCAAACGGG